CUCUCUCCCUAUAUGCUCUUCUUUCCCUUUCCCUUUCUCUCUCUCUCUCUCUCUCUCUCUCACUUUCUUCUGAAAUGUAUUUCCUAUGCACAAUUUUGAAACAAUCUCUCUAUUUGGUUGAAAAACUCAGAAAAAUGGCUUCAUUGCGUCAAAAUUUCCCGGUUCAAUUUCUCCAAAUGACUCCACCAGCUUUGAAUCUUUCUACUCAAGAUGCCCCAAACGCAUCAGAUCAGAUCUCCUUGGGAAACACCAUUACAGUGGGCAGAUGUAGAUUUUAUAUCUCAAACACCUCACACAAUCGCACAUCUUUCUCAAAAAAAAAAAAAAAAAAAAUGCCUAAAUUAAUCUAUAGAAGCAACGUUUUGCCUGGGUAGUUACAAAAAAAAUUCUGUGGUUUCAUAUCUUUCCCCCCCAAAAAAAAAACUUCUUCCUUCUCCCUCUGUUUCUUUAUAUUCUUCUCUCUCUGUUUCCUUACAUUCUUCACUCUCUCUCCCUCUCUCUCUGUAUUCUAUUCCUGCAACAACUUUGAAACAUUUUCUCCACACAAGUUUUUCCCUGUUUGCAGAAAUACUCAGAAACAAGACUUCUUU